GCCAGCAUGGUGUAGUGGUUUGAGUGUUGGACUACUACUCUGGAGACCUGGGGUUGAUUCCCAACUCUGCCA
rnacentral:tRNA from 1 species